AAUGCCCUGACUUCAUCUGCAGACAGAAUGCUAUCCAAAAAAAGAUAAACAGACGCGGGAUAGUCAACUACUAAGCUCUGCCAAGACAAGACCUGUGAGAACACAUUUUUGCAUGAGUGCAGUUCCAUGUGGAGGCCCAAAAGGACAAGUAUCUUCAGAACAACAAGAAUACUAAACAAACAGACAAACAAACAAACAAACCCCUACGAAAUCACAAUUGCUACAUAACCUUAUUGUAAAACCAGGAGAAAGGCCAAUGUAUUUACUUAUAUACUAGGAGCAGCCUGAAGGAAGAAAGAGUAAGUGAAACCAAGUUUUCAAAGUUGUAAGCACUCCCUUUUGAGGGUGAGAAUUACUCAACAAGUGACAGCGUACCUUGGUACUCAGAGAUACAGCUAUAUAAACACAAAGAGUAGCAGCUACCUGACAAGUGCUGACAAGUGACAACAGUUUUCUCUGAGGAGCAGGAACACACCAGGAGUAGGGUAAGGGAGCAAGUUUUCAGAAGCAGCCUUUAGAACUAUUUGACUCUCCAAACAUCUUUCAUGAGGAUCUCAAGCAAUAAAGUCUUCCUUUAAAGUCCCAAUAAGCAAAUAUUAUGCUCUUUCAUAUUCCCAAACUUAUUAACCAGAGAAUGAGGAAACAAGGGGCUUCCCAACAUUUCAUGUACAAAGACACAGAACUUACUGCAAACCCUAGCUCCUCCAAAAUGAGGUUGCAGAGAAGAUAUAGCAACUGUAUUGCUUACUAAAUUCGAAUGGGACAUUUCUCCCUCAAAGGAAUGGUUUUCGAGAAUAUAUUUAUUCUAUUAUUCCCUAACGAGGAAGUGUGUACCUUUAAUCCUGGUGCAGGAUAGAAGCCUUCAACUAACUUGCUGUUAUCAAAAAGACUAUAGGCACCGUCCCGUAUUGCCACGACGCCUCGACUACGGCAGUAUAUGUCAAUGCAGUACAUGUUCCUGAAGGCCAGUCUGAUGUGGGUGGAUGAUUGUGGUAAAAUGGAGAAACACUGGUAGGCGGUGUUAGUUCUCUGGGUCAAGCCCAACAUUGGAACAGUAGGGAGUUUGUUGAUAGCAUUUAAUGGUGCCUGAGUAUCAAACAAAACCUGGAAGAAACAGAGAUAUCACCCAGUUGUCAUGUAACUGCAGAAAACUUACAAUUUUCUGUCUCAUUGUCACAAAUGAACAUUCUGGGACAUUCUAGAAAAGUUUCUUUUGAAGUGCACUAGAUCAUUUUAAUUAAGUUCUCCAGGCAGAGUUUAAACCAUGUAAGACAAAAACAUCCAUCUUCGUCAUUAAAAGAGAAAUGCAGAUAAUUUUAGGUGUUUUGCAUAGCAUACUACUAGUACAUCUUAAGACAGAGAACUUAAUUACCUGUAAUAACUGAACCACAUUUGGUGUUUUGUUGAACAUUUCUUGAAGUUGAUGGAGAAUGGUAUUGUGACAGUUACUGCAACCUGAGUUUGGGCCAACUGUUCCCAACGCAAUGUGAAAUUUCUGAUGAAUGGAGUUCCACUGAAUACUAAUCUAGAGCAAAGAGAGCACAUGUGAAACAAACUGCAAAGUAACAGAUUCCAGGUGCAAACCAUGAUAAAGAUAAGUCAGCAAGCAUCAAAGGAGGGCUUCUUGUAAAAAUGAGUAAUGUGCUAAGAUUUGCUCCCAAUCUCCAAAUAUGAUAUUUAUAUAGAUCAACAGAGCCUAUGAGCAUACAUAUCAUCUCCCUUUUAUUAUAUAAACUAGAAAUAUAAAUCUUUUAAAUAGAAAAUGCAACUCUUGAGAUUUAAAGAUUUAUUUCAAUGCAGAGUCAUAUUCUCAAUGCCAUCAACUAAGGUAGCAAGCACUGUUAUAAUAAAAAGGGAAAAUCCUCAAACACAUGUUCAUUCAAUUACUAAUAAUUUCAGACAUUACUAGUUAUAGAAGUGUCUAGAGAGAAACGAAUACAAGUGUUGUACAAGUCUCUAUGUGUACCAUGUCCAUGGCUGGUGUCCGAGAAACCCUGGGACUGGAGUUACAGAUGGUUGCUGGAUCCUCUAUGAGACCAGUACAGCCUCUCAAUCACUGAGUCCUCUCUUUAGUUCCCAACUCAUUUUUAAGGAAAAGAAGUAUAGAUUACAGGGAAUAUACUUAGGAUUAAGAUACGAAUAAAGACUGAAUAUUUUCGUAUAACUCAAACCAAAGACAAACUGUAUUUCUCAAAGCCAUUCAUAUAAAGUUAAACAUGAAUCCCAAUUGAAGUCUGUGAAGGAAAAAAUGUCAAGAGUGCUUGUUUUAAAAUCAAGAUCAUAUGCUCUAAAGACACUAUAAUUUAUUUUUCAGUUUUAAAGAAUUAAGCAUAUAUCACACUUUUAUUUCAGCAGAGCAUUUAAAAUUGAUGUUCCUCGAGCCUUUAUUUAAGGCAGUUUUCUUUCCUUUGUUUCUUUUCCAAGCUGCAGUGUCUGGCAACUAUCAUUUAAGUUCUUAAUUUUUAAAAGAUAAAUAAGAAAGGAACCUCCAUUUUUCAAUAUUUAUUUUUAUUUUAUUUCAUGUGCAUUGAUAUUUUGCCUGCAUGGAUGAGGGAGUCAGAUCUUGGAACACAAACUGCUGUGAGCUGCUAUAUGGGGGCUGGCUGGGAACUGAAUCCAGGUUUUCUGAAAUACUGACAGUGCACAUAAGCACUAAGCCAUUUAUUUCUCCAGGCCACAGAACAACCAUGUUUUAAUUCAUAUACUUACUGAGCUUCCUUUGGUGGUUCCAUAACAUAAGAUAAGCUUUCGAUAAUUAUAAACACGAACUUCUGAGAAAAUAUUCAGAUGAGCAGGUAUUUCUAAGCAGAAACAAACAAAAUGCAUAUUGAUCGGACACGGACAUGUUUAAGAAGCAGGUAUGAAAAGUAGAGCAUUUUGGCAAAUCAUAUGCCUAGUUUGGUUGUGAUACGGUCUCCUUGAACCCCACAUUGUCCCUCAGAGUCUCUGUGUACUAAGGGUGAUGGAUAUACGCCUCGAUCUUGCUGCUUUUCCCUACCAAGUGUCAUGAUUGCAGGCCCACAUCACCAUGCCCGUUUGAUUGUUUGCCAAGGCAGUGGCAGAAUCAAAAGCAUGUAAAGCCAGCACAGAGAAGGUGAGCCAUGGAAAAGGUCUAGCACAGUGGCUAAUACAGCAAGGCACUUUCUCUGUCCUGGCCUUCUCUGCUCUCAGUUCAUGCCAAGAAAAGCUCUUACACAAAGUGAAGUUUUUAAGUCUCUGUGAAAUGUUUUUGUCAUCUGUAAAAUAGGGGAUAGCUAUUUCCUAAGUAGCUGUGCAAUUAAAUGUGCUAGUGUUGGGACACAAUCAAAGAAUGGAGCCGUAUGAGAAUUCUGAGUGUUAUGACCUCAGUGUCUUCAAAAACAGCAUCAUUCUUGGAAUGUGCUUUUGUGCCCAUCUGAGUUGACUUCAGAUUAUUCGUUCCAACUAUUGUUGUUUCUGUGCCUCUGUGGAAAACAUGUUUUGCCACAUGUGACUUCCAUUGUAAUUGUAUACUUUACUUAUAUGAUACUAUCUAACCCUUGUGGUAUACAUAAUAUGAUGCUCUGAAUAAAAUUGGCUAUUUAUUAUUUA